rnacentral:lncRNA from 1 species
AACCAAUCUAAAAACAAAUAAAUUCAGAGCUAAACAACUAAGGAGAAUAUACAACAACAAAGAUCAGGUAUAGAACACGAAGAUUUCCAUGCUACAUGCAACAAAAAGCAAAUAGAUAUGCAACACCAACAUUCAACAACAAACAAUUAAAUGAUCAAAUUGUUAUGUAAAUGAAUGCAUUGACAAUCAUAAAUACUACAUGGACAAUUAUACAAAUGCUUAAAUGCACAUAAUUGGUAAUACACAUUUAAAAAGACUUAAAUACAAAGAAG